rnacentral:tRNA from 1 species
GGAGAGUUCGCAUAACGGUAUUGCAGCAGAUUGCUAAUCUGCCGGGGCAUUAGCCCUGUGGAGGUUCAAAUCCUCUACUCUCCG